GUCGGCCGAGGCUGGUUUCCUAUUUGGAGGCUCAACUAAGGAAAGGUGCUCCCAUGCUCACACCACUUGUUGGCAUAUUUUCUUGUAGCUGUCAGACUCACAGGAACUUGAUUCUUCAAAGCUAUCAAGAAGGGCAAGACUCUGGAGUAUAUCCGCUAGCAAGACAGGUCUUUCAUAAUGUGAUGUAAUUGUGGGAAUGAUACUCCUCUAACUUUGCCGUAGAACGUACUGCCAUGAUUAGAGUGGCAUCCUACCACUUUUGUCAUAUUCUAUUGGUGAGAGGCAAGUCGCAGAUCCUUACCACCUCCCUGAAGACCUUGAAGUUCCUCCUUCCAGGGAAGAUUACAUAAGGGCCUGAACAGCAAGAGCCAGGAUCGUGUGGACCACCUUAGAGUCUGUUCGUGAUGGUGAACAACUUUGAAAUCUCUCUCCUUGCACUGCUUUCCACUUGAAUAAUCAAGGGAACCAGGGACUUGGGAAAAUGUAAAAUAUGACACUCAUUCACCUAAAAAUAUUCCUCUCAUUUCAGCUGGAGAACCUCAUACAGCACCCCGAGAGGGAGGCCAGGCUCACCGACUCUGCCCUCCACACCCAUACAUAUGACGCAACUGAAGAAAAAUGUUCUCUACCUGGAGAGAAACACAGAGAGCAGCAUAGAAUGAACCACAUUCCUAAGUGGGAGAUGACUGCUCUCACCAGGGAAACCAGGGAUACCAGGGGCCCAUUGGAAGUUGCUUCUUGAAGCAGAUGGGCUUUGAGCCUUCUCUUGCUGUGUGGAUUGUAAUAUUUAACCUUUACCACCAGGAUGCCAGGUGCCAGGCUGGAACUCUCCAACACCAAGGGGAAGGGAGUCCUGCAAUCCCUCAUGGUGGGCAGGACACUUCCUGGGGCACCGUGUCGACAAACGCUUUUCUAAUAGCACAGAUGUGCGGCCGCUCAUGACCAUUGGCCAUUAGCCAAGUGGCAGCUCUAAUCGAAGGCCCCAAAGGCCGAGGGAAUGACAACAACAAAAAAAGAGCGCUUUAUGGGCUCCAAGAUUCCCAUGCCCCCACACAGAACAGAGAGGAGCAGCAGACUCUUUAGGAUCGUUAAGAGUCAUGCAGAUUUGUCAAGUCUUCGACCCUACAAAUGCAAGCGUGGAAGAGAUAUUCAAGGACAGCCCGCCCAUAAGUGCAGAGCCUGGAGCACAGAAGAUGCUAUGAAACCGUAAUGUAAGGGGGGGGAUAAAGAUAACGUGCAGAGCUUCCCAGCGGCCAAAGCUAAUGGGCAAGAGGAAGCAAAUGCGGUACACCAGCCUAUGACCAACAUAAUGCAAAGCGACAGAGGCAGAAGAAGCACUGGUGGGAAGCACUCAGGAAGCCAGUAUGUUCCUUGAGGUCCUAGGAGUCAUCAUUUGUGAUCAUCGCUAAGGAUAAUUAUAUGUUAAUUAAUGAAUAAUUAUGAUACCAUGGGAUAAAUGUUGCUGGUGGUUCAUACAGAAUGAGGAGUGAGUUAACUUGAUGGUGAGAGUGAGAAGAAACAGAGAAGGACAUACAAAAGAAGGGAAUCGCAUAUCGGACUCCGCAGCAGUGGAGAGGAAUAAAAGGCCAUGUGAGUUUGAAAAGCACAGGCACUCCAGCGUGACUGGGAGGAAGCACAUGAUUGAGGGGGCCACCCAGCUUUUGAAUGGCAACAGCCUAGGCAAACUGUGGCCCUCAGGCCAAAUCCGGCCCCUGGAAUGUUUUUGCAAAUAAAGUUUUAUUGGAA